rnacentral:rRNA from 1 species
UGGGGAAUAUUGGACAAUGGGCGCAAGCCUGAUCCAGCAAUGCCGCGUGUGUGAAGAAGGCCUUCGGGUUGUAAAGCACUUUUAUCAGGAGCGAAACGCUGUCGGCUAAUACCCGGCGGAACUGACGGUACCUGAGGAAUAAGCACCGGCUAACUUCGUGCCAGCAGCCGCGGUAAUACGAAGGGUGCAAGCGUUAAUCGGAAUUACUGGGCGUAAAGCGUGCGUAGGCGGUUUCUUAAGUCUGCUGUGAAAUCCCCGGGCUCAACCUGGGAAUGGCAGUGGAUACUGGGAGGCUAGAGUGUGUCAGAGGGUGGUGGAAUUCCCGGUGUAGCGGUGAAAUGCGUAGAGAUCGGGAGGAACAUCAGUGGCGAAGGCGGCCACCUGGGACAACACUGACGCUGAGGCACGAAAGCGUGGGGAGCAAACAGGAUUAGGUACCCUGGUAGUCCACGCCCUAAAGCGAUGCGAACUGGAUGUUGGUCUCAACUCGGAGAUCAGUGUCGAAGCUAACGCGUUAAGUUCGCCGCCUGGGGAGUACGGUCGCAAGACUGAAACUUAAAGG